rnacentral:rRNA from 1 species
GAUGAACGCUGGCGGCGUGCCUAACACAUGCAAGUCGAGCGGCAGCGAGGGGUGCUUGCACCCUGUCGGCGAGCGGCGGACGGCUGAGUAACGCGUGGGAACGUGCCCCAAAGUGAGGAAUAACUGCCCGAAAGGGUAGCUAAUACCGCAUAUUAUCUUCGGAUCAAAGGAUUUAUCCGCUUUGGGAGCGGCUCGCGUCGGAUUAGGUAGUUGGUGAGGUAAUGGCCCACCAAGCCGACGAUCCGUAGCUGGUCUGAGAGGAUGACCAGCCAGACUGGAACUGAGACACGGUCCAGACUCCUACGGGAGGCAGCAGUGAGGAAUCUUCCACAAUGGGCGAAAGCCUGAUGGAGCAACGCCGCGUGCAGGACGAAGGCCUUCGGGUUGUAAACUGCUUUUAUAAGUGAGGAAUAUGACGGUAACUUAUGAAUAAGGAUCGGCUAACUACGUG